AUAGAGUGGCGUACGGGAGAGUAACACGUAAGUAAUCUACCCUUGGGUGGGGAAUAACUUAGGGAAACCUAAGCUAAUACCGCAUAAUGCAGCGGCUCCAAAUGGAGACAGUUGUUAAAGCUUUAGUGCCUAAGGAGGAGCUUGCGGCAGAUUAGCUAGUUGGUAAGGUAACGGCUUACCAAGGCGACGAUCUGUAGCCGGUCUAAGAGGACGGUCGGUCUCACUGACACUGAAUAACGGGUCAG
rnacentral:rRNA from 1 species